rfam:Deltaproteobacteria bacterium RBG_16_48_10 RBG_16_scaffold_15096, whole genome shotgun sequence.
GGGUCUAGAAAUAUUUAAAUAUUUCUAGAGGUAAAAAGCUGAAUAGUCGGGCCGCUAUUU